UGGGAAACAAUAUUCCUAACAAAAAGUUCAUUCCAAUUUGUUACGUCAUCAUCAUAAUUAAGUGUUAGUUUAUCACCAUGGCAAAUUAAUGCUUUCUAUCUUGUCAUAUCCCUUGUAUUUAGUCAUGAUCAAUACACCCAGAAUGGAAAGGAAAUUCAAACAAAGGGUCUUUCUUCAAAUUAAAGCAUCAUUUGUGCAUUGGCUAGUGAAGAAUGCUUCUACUUGACUUCAAUGACAGAUAUGGCCCAGU
rnacentral:lncRNA from 1 species